rnacentral:tRNA from 1 species
GGGCCCAUAGCUCAGUCGGUUAGAGCACCCGACUCAUAAUCGGAUGGUCCGGGGUUCAAGUCCCUGUGGGCCCA